UACGAGGGGGGGCGAGCGUUGUUCGGAAUUAUUGGGCGUAAAGGGUGCGUAGGCGGUUCCGCAAGUCCUGUGUGAAAUCUUCGGGCUCAACUCGAAGUCUGCACGGGAAACUGCGGGGGCUUGAGUGUGGGAGAGGUGAGUGGAAUUCCCCGGUGUAGCGGUGAAAUGCGUAGAUAUCGGGAGGAACACCUGUGGCGAAAGCGGCUCACUGGACCAUAACUGACGCUGAUGCACGAAAGCUGGGGGAGCAAACAGG
rnacentral:rRNA from 1 species